UAGGAGCUUCUAUAAGCUUUGUGUGAUAACCCAAAAUAGUACUAACGGUCUUAACUUCAUGCAUCCUAAACUGCUCCACCACUAUUUUCAAGUAAUCAUACUAAUUAAGAUAAGAAUAAUUCAACCUUCAAUUCUCCAUUUAGUAAUAUUAUGAUGCUCACUUGAAAGAUUUGUUUUGAUUAUAUGGCACCACUUGUGUUAA
rnacentral:lncRNA from 1 species